CGGGUCGAUGGAGACUGAGGUGCCCGAAGCAUUCGGGGUAAAUGGGAAGUUCAGUGCAAGCUGACGCUGCCCCCGCAACGGUAGGGUCGAUAAGCCAUCGACCGAGCCCGACACCAGCCCAAUCUCCUCAAGGCAA
rnacentral:ncRNA from 2 species